GGCCGGUUAGCUCAGCUGGUUAGAGCGUGGUGCUAAUAACGCCAAGGUCCUGGGAUCGAUCCCCAUACUGGCCA
rnacentral:tRNA from 1 species